GACGAACGCUGGCGGCGUGCUUAACACAUGCAAGUCGAACGGUGAAGCGCCUUCCUUUUUGGUGGGUGUGGAUGAGUGGCGAACGGGUGAGUAACACGUGAGUAACCUGCCCCCUUCUUCUGGAUAACCGCAUGAAAGUGUGGCUAAUACGGGAUAUUCUGGGUCUGUCGCAUGAUGGGUCUGGGAAAGAUAUUGUUUCGGUGGGGGAUGGGCUCGCGGCUUAUCAGCUUGUUGGUGGGGUGAUGGCCUACCAAGGCGGUGACGGGUAGCCGGCCUGAGAGGGUGGACGGGCACACUGGGACUGAGACACGGCCCAGACUCCUACGGGAGGCAGCAGUGGGGAAUCUUGCACAAUAGGCGCAAGGCUGAUGCAGCGACGCCGCGUGAGGGAUGGAGGCCUUCGGGUUGUGAACCUCUUUCGCCAGUGAAGCAGGCCUGCCUCGUUUGUGGGUGGGUUGACGGUAGCUGGAUAAGAAGCGCCGGCUAACUACGUG
rnacentral:rRNA from 1 species